rnacentral:rRNA from 1 species
ACGAACGCUGGCGGCGUGCUUAACACAUGCAAGUCGAACGGUGAAGGGGCCUGCUUUUGUGGGUCCUGGAUGAGUGGCGAACGGGUGAGUAACACGUGAGUAACCUGCCCCUUCUUCUGGAUAACCGCAUGAAAGUGUGGCUAAUACGGGAUAUUCUGGGUCUGUCGCAUGGUGGGCCUGGGAAAGAUUGCGCCUUUUUUGGUGUUUUUGGUGGGGGAUGGGCUCGCGGCCUAUCAGCUUGUUGGUGGGGUGAUGGCCUACCAAGGCGGUGACGGGUAGCCGGCCUGAGAGGGUGGACGGUCACACUGGGACUGAGACACGGCCCAGACUCCUACGGGAGGCAGCAGUGGGGAAUAUUGCACAAUGGGCGCAAGCCUGAUGCAGCGACGCCGCGUGAGGGAUGGAGGCCUUCGGGUUGUGAACCUCUUUCGCCAGUGAAGCAGGCCUGCCUCGUUUGUGGGUGGGUUGACGGUAGCUGGAUAAGAAGCGCCGGCUAACUACGUG